GCUCUCGUAGUGUAAUGGAUAGCAUACAAGACCACGAAUCUUAUGGUGUGGGUUCGAUUCCCAUCGGGAGUA